rnacentral:rRNA from 1 species
AACGAACGCUGGCGGCAUGCCCAACACAUGCAAGUCGAACGAGACCUUCGGGUCUAGUGGCGCACGGGUGCGUAACGCGUGGGAACCUGCCCUUAGGUUCGGAAUAACUCCCCGAAAGGGGUGCUAAUACCGGAUAAUGUCUUCGGACCAAAGAUUUAUCGCCUUUGGAUGGGCCCGCGUUGGAUUAGCUAGUUGGUAGGGUAAAAGCCUACCAAGGCGACGAUCCAUAGCUGGUCUGAGAGGAUGAUCAGCCGCACUGGGACUGAGACACGGCCCAGACUCCUACGGGAGGCAGCAGUGGGGAAUAUUGGACAAUGGGCGAAAGCCUGAUCCAGCAAUGCCGCGUGAGUGAUGAGGGCCUUAGGGUUGUAAAGCUCUUUUACCCGGGAUGAUAAUGACAGUACCGGGAGAAUAAGCUCCGGCUAACUCCGUG